GGCGAGUGAAGCGGCAACAGCUCAAAUUUGAAAUCUGGCUCCGGGCGGGGUCCGAGUUGUAAUUUGGAGAAGAUGCUUCGGGCGUGGCGCCGGUCUAAGUUCCUUGGAACAGGACGCCGCAGAGGGUGAGAGCCCCGUAUGGGAUCGCGCGCCGACGCCCGUGUGAAGCUCUUUCGACGAGUCGAGUUGUUUGGGAAUGCAGCUCAAAAUGGGUGGUAAAUGCCAUCUAAAGCUAAAUACCGGCCAGAGACCGAUAGCGCACAAGUAGAGUGAUCGAAAGAUGAAAAGCACUUUGGAAAGAGAGUCAAACAGUACGUGAAAUUGUUGAAGGGGAAGCGCUUGCAACCAGACGUGGGCGCGGCCGAUCAUCCGGGGUUCUCUCCGGUGCACUCGGUCGCGCGCAGGCCAGCAUCGGUUCCGGUGGUCGGAGAAAGGUCGCGGGAACGUGGCUCCUCGCGGGGAGUGUUACAGCCCGCGACGACAUGCGACCCACCGGGAUCGAGGACCGCGCUCCGGCUAGGAUGCUGGCGUAAUGGUUGCAAGCGGCCCGUCUUGAAACACGGACCAAGGAGUCUAAUAUUUAUGCGAGUAUUUGGGUGUUCAAACCCGCGUGCGCAAUGAAAGUGAACGGAGGUGAGAACCCGCGAGGGCGCAUCACCGACCGAUCCUGAUGUCGUCGGAUGGAUUUGAGUAAGAGCAUAACUAUUGGGACCCGAAAGAGAGUGAACUUUACGUGAAUAGGGUGAAGCCAGAGGAAACUCUGGUGGAGGCUCGCAGCGGUUCUGACGUGCAAAUCGAUCGUCAAAUUUGCGUAAAGGGGCGAAAGACUAAUCGAACUUUCUAGUAGCUGGUUCCUGCCGAAGUUUCCCUCAGGAUAGCAGUGUUGUCUUCAGUUUUAUGAGGUAAAGCGAAUGAUUAGAGGCCUUGGGGUAGAAACUACCUUAACCUAUUCUCA
rnacentral:rRNA from 1 species